GGUGCUAUAGUGUAGUGGUUAUCACUCGGGAUUUUGACUUCCCAGGGUCACCUGAUCACCUUCCCGAAACCCAGGUUCGAACCCUGGUAGCACCU